rnacentral:rRNA from 1 species
AGUCGAGUGCGCGUGCCGUAGCAAUACGGUAUGGCGCACGGCGCACGGGUGCGUAACACGUGGGCAAUCUGCCCUCCGGUGGGGAAUAACCCCGCGAAAGCGGGGCUAAUUCCGCAUAACACUCCCUGGACUUCGGUUCGGGGAUUCAAAGCAGUGAUGCGCCGGAGGAGGAGCCCGCGCCCGAUUAGCUAGUUGGUGAGGUAACGGCUCACCAAGGCAAUGAUCGGUAGCUGGUCUGAGAGGAUGGCCAGCCACACUGGAACUGAGACACGGUCCAGACUCCUACGGGAGGCAGCAGUGGGGAAUCUUGCGCAAUGGGCGAAAGCCUGACGCAGCGACGCCGCGUGGGGGAUGAAGCUUUUCGGAGUGUAAACCCCUUUCGACCGGGACGAAUGCCCGCAAGGGAGUGACGGUACCGGUAGAAGAAGCCCCGGCUAACUACGUGCCAGCAGCCGCGGUAAGACGUAGGGGGCCAGCGUUGUUCGGAAUUACUGGGUGUAAAGGGUUCGUAGGCGGUGUGGCAAGUCGGGAGUGAAAUUUCUGGGCUUAACUCAGAAGCUGCUUCCGAAACUGCUGUGCUAGAGUGCGGGAGAGGCGCGUGGAAUUGCAGGUGUAGCGGUGAAAUGCGUAGAUAUCUGCAGGAACACCCGUGGCGAAAGCGGCGCGCUGGACCGUUACUGACGCUGAGGAACGAAAGCUAGGGGAGCAAACAGGAUUAGAUACCCUG